rnacentral:rRNA from 1 species
AAACGAACUUGGAGAUAGCUGGUUCUCUCCGAAAUAGCUUUAGGGCUAGCCUCGCAAAGAGGAUGCUGGAGGUAGAGCUCUGUUUGGACUAGGGGCCCGUCAAGGGUUACUGAAUUCAGAUAAACUGCGAAUUCCAGACAUUUAUGUGCGGGAGUCAGACUGCGAGUGAUAAGAUCCGUAGUCGAAAGGGAAACAGCCCAGAUCACCAGUUAAGGUCCCAAAAUUCAUGCUAAGUGGAAAAGGAUGUGGAGUUGCGCAGACAACUAGGACGUUGGCUCAGAAGCAGCCAUCAUUCAAAGAGUGCGUAAUAGCUCACUAGUCGAGUGACGCCGCGCCGAAAAUUUACCGGGGCUAAGCAUGAUACCGAAACUGUGGAUGUGCAUUUAUGCACGUGGUAGGAGAGCGUUCUAGCGGCGGUGAAGCAUGACCGAGAGGACAUGUGGAGCUUCUAGAAGUGAGAAUGCCGGUAUGAGUAACGAAAGACAGGUGAGAAUCCUGUCCGCCGCAAGACUAAGGUUUCCUGGGGCAGGCUCGUCCGCCCAGGGUAAGUCGGGACCUAAGGCGAGGCCGAGAGGCGUAGUCGAUGGACAACAGGUUGAAAUUCCUGUACUGCACCGAAUCGUUAUGAGCGAUGGAGGGACGCAGGAGGCUAGCAGCGCGUGGUGCUGGAUACCACGUUCAAGCGUCAAGUCUGAGAGCGAGUCAAAUGCUUGCUCUCAUAAGGACAAGGCGUGAUGAGGAGCGAAAUUAAAGUAGCGAAGGCUGCGACGUCACACUGCCGAGAAAAGCUUCUAGCCAGAGACGGUGCACCCGUACCGCAAACCGACACAGGUAGUCGAGGAGAGUAUCCUCAGGUGAGCGAGAGAACUCUCGUUAAGGAACUCGGCAAAAUGGCCCCGUAACUUCGGGAGAAGGGGCGCUGGUCGCAAGAUCAGCCGCAGUGAAAAGGCCCAAGCAACUGUUUAUCAAAAACACAGGCAUCUGCAAAAUCGUAAGAUGAAGUAUAGGUGCUGACACCUGCCCGGUGCUGGAAGGUUAAGAGGAGAGCUUAGCGCAAGCGAAGGUUUGAAUUGAAGCCCCAGUAAACGGCGGCCGUAACUAUAACGGUCCUAAGGUAGCGAAAUUCCUUGUCGGGUAAGUUCCGACCUGCACGAAAGGUGUAAUGAUUUGGGCACUGUCUCAACGAGAGACUCGGUGAAAUUAUAAUACCCGUGAAGAUGCGGGUUACCCGCGACAGGACGGAAAGACCCCAUGGAGCUUUACUGCAGUUUAAUAUUGGGUAUCUGUCAAGCAUGUACAGGAUAGGUAGGAGCCGGAGAAGAUAGGACGCCAGUCUUAUCAGAGGCGCUGUUGGGAUACUACCCUUGCUUGACGGAUGCUCUAACUCAGGCCUGUGAUCCAGGCCGAGGACAGUGUUUGACGGGCAGUUUGACUGGGGCGGUCGCCUCCUAAAGUGUAACGGAGGCGCCCAAAGGUUCCCUCAGAAUGGUUGGAAAUCAUUCGCAGAGUGUAAAGGUAAAAGGGAGCUUGACUGCGAGAGAGACAACUCGAGCAGGUACGAAAGUAGGGCUUAGUGAUCUGGUGGUACCGUAUGGAAGGGCCAUCACUCAACGGAUAAAAGCUACCCUGGGGAUAACAGGCUUAUCUCCCCCAAGAGUUCACAUCGACGGGGAGGUUUGGCACCUCGAUGUCGGCUCGUCGCAUCCUGGGGCUGAAGUCGGUCCCAAGGGUUGGGCUGUUCGCCCAUUAAAGCGGCACGCGAGCUGGGUUCAGAACGUCGUGAGACAGUUCGGUCCCUAUCCGUCGUGGGCGUAGGAAAUUUGAGAGGAGCUGUCCUUAGUACGAGAGGACCGGGAUGGACGCACCGCUGGUGUACCAGUUGUCUUGCCAAAGGCAUCGCUGGGUAGCUAUGUGCGGACGGGAUAAGCGCUGAAAGCAUCUAAGUGCGAAGCCCCCCUCAAGAUGAGAUUUCCCAUUUCUUCAAGAAAGUAAGACACCUCAGAGACGAUGAGGUAGAUAGGCCGGGAGUGGAAGAGCCGUGAGGCUUGGAGCGGACCGGUACUAAUCAGUCGAGGACUUGACCAAAA